rnacentral:rRNA from 1 species
AUUGAACGCUGGCGGCAUGCUUUACACAUGCAAGUCGAACGGUAACAGGCCUUCGGGUGCUGACGAGUGGCGAACGGGUGAGUAAUGCAUCGGAACGUACCCAGAGGUGGGGGAUAACGCAGCGAAAGCUGUGCUAAUACCGCAUGUGAUCUGAGGAUGAAAGCGGGGGACCGAGCAGCAAUGUUUGGCCUCGCGCCUUUGGAGCGGCCGAUGUCGGAUUAGCUAGUUGGUGGGGUAAAGGCCUACCAAGGCGACGAUCCGUAGCUGGUCUGAGAGGACGACCAGCUACACUGGGACUGAGACACGGCCCAGACUCCUACGGGAGGCAGCAGUGGGGAAUUUUGGACAAUGGGCGCAAGCCUGAUCCAGCAAUGCCGCGUGCGGGAAGAAGGCCUUCGGGUUGUAAACCGCUUUUGGCAGGAACGAAACGGUGUCCGCUAAUACCGGGCGCUAAUGACGGUACCUGCAGAAUAAGCACCGGCUAACUACGUG